AGAGUCAUACAGGAAAGGAGUAGCGACCAUCCUGACCCCGAGUCAUGCGAGGGCAGUCGCGAGGCUGCACUUGAAGCGUUGGACAGGGGCAUAUGUGGGCUGGGUAAUGAGCUCCGAAAACGGCAAUCCAGGGAGCCGACGGCGUCAGCCAGUACGGAAGGCAACAGAGCGGCACGCGAUAGCGCGAGUGUGCCGUGCCCUGCGGAGUCGAAGACCC
rfam:Solibacter usitatus Ellin6076, complete genome.